AAACGCGAAGCCGUAGCGAAAGCGAGUCUGAAUAGGGCGCUUAGUCAGAUGCUGCAGACCCGAAACGAAGUGAUCUAUCCAUGAGCAAGUUGAAGCUAGUGUAAGAACUAGUGGAGGACUGAACCCAUAGGCGUUGAAAAGCCCCGGGAUGACUUGUGGAUAGGGGUGAAAGGCCAAUCAAACUUCGUGAUAGCUGGUUCUCUCCGAAAUAUAUUUAGGUAUAGCGUUGUGUCGUAAUAUAAGGGGGUAGAGCACUGAAUGGGCUAGGGCAUACACCAAUGUACCAAACCCUAUCAAACUCCGAAUACCUUAUAUGUAAUCACAGCAGUCAGGCGGCGAGUGAUAAAAUCCGUCGUCAAGAGGGAAACAACCCAGACUACCAGCUAAGGUCCCUAAAUCUUACUUAAGUGGAAAACGAUGUGAAGUUACUUAAACAACCAGGAGGUUGGCUUAGAAGCAGCCAUCCUUUAAAGAAAGCGUAAUAGCUCACUGGUCUAGUGAUUUUGCGCGGAAAAUAUAACGGGGCUAAAGUAAGUACCGAAGCUGUAGACUUGCGCACAACUUAGAUUAUUUAAGUUUAGAAUAUGAGAAACUAAGUUAUAUGUUUAGUUAUAUUUUUACUGAUUUUUAUAGAGUAAAGAUAGAAAUAAAACUUAGUAAAAUCAGUAAAAAUAUUCUUAGACUAAAGUUAAGUAGUUUAAGUUGUGUGCAAGUGGUAGGAGAGCGUUCUAUUUGCGUCGAAGGUAUACCGGUAAGGAGUGCUGGAGCGAAUAGAAGUGAGCAUGCAGGCAUGAGUAGCGAUAAUUAAUGUGAGAAUCAUUAACGCCGUAAACCCAAGGUUUCCUACGCGAUGCUCGUCAUCGUAGGGUUAGUCGGGUCCUAAGUCGAGUCCGAAAGGGGUAGACGAUGGCAAAUUGGUUAAUAUUCCAAUACCAACAUUAGUGUGCGAUGGAAGGACGCUUAGGGCUAAGGGGGCUAGCGGAUGGAAGUGCUAGUCUAAGGUCGUAGGAGGUUAUACAGGCAAAUCCGUAUAACAAUACUCCGAGAACUGAAAGGCUUUUUGAAGUCUUCGGAUG
rnacentral:rRNA from 1 species